rnacentral:rRNA from 1 species
AGCAGUCGCCGCGGUAAUACGUAGGUGGCAAGCGUUGUCCGGAAUUAUUGGGCGUAAAGGGCUCGCAGGCGGUUUCUUAAGUCUGAUGUGAAAGCCCCCGGCUCAACCGGGGAGGGUCAUUGGAAACUGGGAAACUUGAGUGCAGAAGAGGAGAGUGGAAUUCCACGUGUAGCGGCGAAAUGCGUAGAGAUGUGGAGGAACACCAGUGGCGAAGGCGACUCUCUGGUCUGUAACUGACGCUGAGGAGCGAAAGCGUGGGGAGCGAACAGGAUUAGAUACCCCUGUAGUCCCUGUCUCUUAUAC